AAACCGUUCAGGGGUAAACCUGAGAAACCCAAAAGAUCGAAUGGGGAGAUUCAUCGUCAGCUCAUUUUGUAUAUAUAUUAGUUAUGAUAUGGGUUACUACUUGUAGUAUUGCCUGUACAUUCUUUUAUAUUUAAUUGCAAGAUGUUGUCGGCGUGCACUUCUCCCCUAGUAGGACGUCGCAACCCGUUGAGUGUCGGUUUACGGCUCAAGUUGGUAGCCUUUAAUUUAUUUAUAAAUUAAAGACCCUUGAUGUUUUCUAACUGGCUGCUCGGCGGUAUUCGUAUGGUAUUAGGCCGCAUAUAUAUGCGUUUAUAUCUGUCGCAAGCGCGGUCAAUUUUUGGUAGUACGGACCUAGUGCCGUCGCUAUAAUUGAUCAGCUGUUGGUUGUACGGUAUUCUAUAACUGGCUUAUAAAUAUAUAUACCGGUUGCGAUGCUACUGCUUUGGGUACUUUCAGGA
rnacentral:rRNA from 1 species